rnacentral:rRNA from 1 species
UACGGGGGGGGGCAAGCGUUGUUCGGAAUUACUGGGCGUAAAGGGCUCGUAGGUGGCCAACUAAGUCAGACGUGAAAUCCCUCAGCUUAACUGGGGAACUGCGUCUGAUACUGGAUGGCUUGAGUUGGGAGAGGGAUGCGGAAUUCCAGGUGUAGCGGUGAAAUGCGUAGAUAUCUGGAGGAACACCGGUGGCGAAGGCGGCAUCCUGGACCAAUUCU